rnacentral:rRNA from 1 species
UCCGUAGGCGGAUUGAUAAGUCAGAGGUGAAAUCCCACAGCUUAACUGUGGAACUGCCUUUGAAACUGUUAGUCUUGAGUUAUAUGGAAGUAGAUAGAAUGUGUAGUGUAGCGGUGAAAUGCAUAGAGAUUACACAGAAUACCGAUUGCGAAGGCAGUCUACUACCUGUAUACUGACGCUAAUGGACGAAAGCGUGGGGAGCGAACAGGAUUAGAUACCCUGGUAGUC